UCCCUGGUGGCUCAGAGGUUAAAGCAUCUGCCUGCAAUGCAGAAUCUCAAGUUCGAUCCCUGGCUUGGGAA
rnacentral:tRNA from 1 species